rnacentral:rRNA from 1 species
UACGUAGGGGGCAAGCGUUGUCCGGAUUUAUUGGGCGUAAAGAGCGUGUAGGCGGCCAUACAGGUCCGUUGUGAAAACUCGAGGCUCAACCUCGAGACGCCGGUGGAAACUGCAAAGCUAGAGUCCGGAAGAGGAGAGUGGAAUUCCUGGUGUAGCGGUGAAAUGCGCAGAUAUCAGGAAGAACACCCGUGGCGAAGGCGGCUCUCUGGGACGGUACUGACGCUGAGGAGCGAAAGCGUGGGGAGCGAACAGG